rnacentral:rRNA from 1 species
UACGUAGGGUGCGAGCGUUAAUCGGAAUACUGGGCGUAAAGCGUGCGCAGGCGGUUCGUUGUGUCGGCGGUGAAAGCCCCGGGCUUAACCUGGGAAUGGCCGUUGAAACUGGCGAACUGGAGUGCGGCAGAGGGGGGAUGGAAUUCCGCGUGUAGCAGUGAAAUGCGCAGAUAUCAGGAGGAACACCGGUGGCGAAGGCGGAUCUCUGGGCCGAUACUGACGCUGAGGAGCGAAAGCGUGGGGAGCGAACAGG